rnacentral:rRNA from 1 species
GACGAACGCUGGCGGCGUGCUUAACACAUGCAAGUCGAACGAUGAAGCCGGAGCUUGCUCUGGUGAAUUAGUGGCGAACGGGUGAGUAACACGUGAGUAACCUGCCCUUGACUCUGGGAUAACUGCGGGAAACUGUAGCUAGUACCGGAUACGACCCUCGGAGGCAUCUCCUGGGGGUGGAAAGAAUUUCGGUCAAGGAUGGACUCGCGGCCUAUCAGCUAGUUGGUGAGGUAAAGGCUCACCAAGGCGACGACGGGUAGCCGGCCUGAGAGGGUGACCGGCCACACUGGGACUGAGACACGGCCCAGACUCCGACGGGGGGCAGCAGUGGGGAAUAGUGCACAAUGGGCGCAAGCCUGAUGCAGCAACGCCGCGUGAGGGAUGACGGCCUUCGGGUUGUAAACCUCUUUUAGCAGGGAAGAAGCGAAAGUGACGGUACCUGCAGAAAAAGCACCGGCUAACUACGUGCCAGCCGCCGCAGUAA